GACGAACGCUGGCGGCGUGCUUAACACAUGCAAGUCGAACGGUAAGGCCCUUCGGGGUACACGAGUGGCGAACGGGUGAGUAACACGUGGGUGAUCUGCCCUGCACUUCGGGAUAAGCCUGGGAAACUGGGUCUAAUACCGGAUAGGACCACUGCCUGCAUGGGUGGUGGUGGAGAGCUUUUGCGGUGUGGGAUGGGCCCGCGGCCUAUCAGCUUGUUGGUGGGGUGAUGGCCUACCAAGGCGACGACGGGUAGCCGGCCUGAGAGGGUGACCGGCCACACUGGGACUGAAAUACGGCCCAGACUCCUACGGGAGGCAGCAGUGGGGAAUAUUGCACAAUGGGCGCAAGCCUGAUGCGGCGACGCCGCGUGAGGGAUGACGGCCUUCGGGUUGUAAACCUCUUUCAGCACCGACGAAGCGCAAGUGACGGUAGGUGCAGAAGAAGGACCGGCCAACUACGUGCCAGCAGCCGCAGUAA
rnacentral:rRNA from 1 species